GCCGACAUAGCUCAGUUUGGCAGAGCAGCUGAAUCGUAAUCAGCAGGUCGUGGGUUCGAGCCCCUCUGUCGGCU
rfam:Lutibacter sp. BRH_c52 BRHa_1006310, whole genome shotgun sequence.